rnacentral:tRNA from 1 species
ACCACUCGGCAAGGAUUCGACCCACUUGUAAAGCGAAGGUCGUCGGUUCGAAUCCGACAGGGGGCUCCA